CUAAAGUUCACAUGUGUGCCUCCUGGCUGGGAAGGAUCAACACAUGAUGCUAACAUUCUAAGUGACAGCAUGAGUAGGCCUAAUGGCAUCAAUAUCCCCAAUGACAAGUUCUACCUAGGAGACGCGGGCUAUGCAUGUCAGCCAGGUGUUCUUCCACCCUUAAGGAAAAGCAAGUACCAUCUAAAUAAGUUCCCUGGUAGGAACUAUCUUAGGGUCCCAUAA
rnacentral:rRNA from 1 species